rnacentral:rRNA from 1 species
UACGAAGGGGCUAGCGUUGCUCGGAAUCACUGGGCGUAAAGGGUGCGUAGGCGGGUCUUAAGUCAGGGGUGAAAUCCUGGAGCUCAACUCCAGAACUGCCUUUGAUACUGAAGAUCUUGAGUUCGGGAGAGGUGAGUGGAACUGCGAGUGUAGAGGUGAAAUUCGUAGAUAUUCGCAAGAACACCAGUGGCGAAGGCGGCUCACUGGCCCGAUACUGACGCUGAGGCACGAAAGCGUGGGGAG